rnacentral:rRNA from 1 species
UGCUUUAGUAGCGGCGAGUGAAGCGGCAAAAGCUCAAAUUUGAAAUCUGGCACCUUCGGUGUCCGAGUUGUAAUUUGAAGAUUGUAACCUUGGGGUUGGCUCUUGUCUAUGUUUCUUGGAACAGGACGUCACAGAGGGUGAGAAUCCCGUGCGAUGAGAUGCCCAAUCCUAUGUAAGGUGCUUUCGAAGAGUCGAGUUGUUUGGGAAUGCAGCUCUAAGUGGGUGGUAAAUUCCAUCUAAAGCUAAAUAUUGGCGAGAGACCGAUAGCGAACAAGUACAGUGAUGGAAAGAUGAAAAGAACUUUGAAAAGAGAGUGAAAAAGUACGUGAAAUUGUUGAAAGGGAAGGGUUUGAGAUCAGACUCGAUAUUUUGUGAGCCUUGCCUUCGUGGCGGGGUGACCCGCAGCUUAUCGGGCCAGCAUCGGUUUGGGCGGUAGGAUAAUGGCGUAGGAAUGUGACUUUGCUUCGGUGAAGUGUUAUAGCCUGCGUUGAUGCUGCCUGCCUAGACCGAGGACUGCGAUUUUAUCAAGGAUGCUGGCAUAAUGAUCCCAAACCGCCCGUCUUGAAACAACGGACCAAA